rnacentral:lncRNA from 1 species
AUACAGUAUGGGUAUUCCAUGUUUUAUCACACAUUUUGACAAUGUUUUUGUAUAAUUAGUUGCCAUGUUUGUGCUGGUCUUUUACACAGCAACAGAACACUUUGUAAAUAUGCAAAAAUUAGCAUGGGGACUAAAGACUAGUUUUAUUAGCUGAAAUUACUUUUAAUACUUUUUUAACUGUCUGCACUGCCUACUUGAAAUACAUAUAACUAGUUCUGUCACAAUUUUGUUUAUUCUAGGAACUAUGGAAAUAAACUUCAUGGUGAUAUCCUGGAAGUUGUGCAGAAUAAUUAAGCCCUUCAUGAGAACAUCAACAGUUCUAGAAGACUAUAUGAUGUACAAUUGUGGAUGUUCCUGAAUAUUUAAGACAGAAUGUGACUUAUUAGCAAGUAUCCAGUGGAUAAUGAAUCAGUGAAUGACUAACUGACAGCGCAGUUGGGAUAUAAAACUACUUGCGACUCUAGUACUACUAAAACAGGUAUUCUUAACUUAAAACAAUUUGAAAAUACACUUUUCUGACAAUAUUUUGACACAACACAAUAUCCUAAUCUUAAAGCACAAAUAUUUUUCAAAUACUGUAAAGUGUGGGACAUAGCUAAGAUAUGGAGUAAGCUGGCUUUGUCAACUGAACCUUUGAGUAGUCUUUUUCUUAUGAACUGCCUAUACAUUCCUGCCUUAGUCUAUAAAAGUGACUGAUAUUUCUAGCUUAUAUAAGCAGUUUAAAUUUUCUUUUUUUAAAAAAAAAAAGACGUAAUAGGAACAGAUCUGUUAAGUUCUUUCCUUUGUCAGGACAAAAAUAGUUUACUGAUAUUUCUUGGAGGAAGAAAAAUCACUUUUCUAAAAUCAACAGACUCUAUUGUAUCUAAGUUGCAGUGCCUUGUAUUGAUAAAGGUAUCUGGCCCAAAUGGAUAAAGGGCACUUCUCAACUUGUUGAGAAAUAAUUUCAUUCUAGGAUAGUAUCUAAACUGAAUUAUAGUUCUCACAUGUUAAUUUUGGCAUAGUGUUCCAGUAUACCAAAAAGUGUCUAAUUUUUAAAGUGGUCUAUCAGUGAUGAACCUAUCCCGAACCUGACUUGCUGAUGAGAAAUUUUAUACGGAUCUGGCUUCUGAGAUAAGACCACCAUCAUUCAGAAGAGUUAAUCUGGUUACACCACUGUUCUGUGCACCUACUUUGACAUGUUUACUGUUACCACUAGAAAAGUAUCUAAUGUCCAUUGAUGCAGUUACUCAAACUCAUUUUUGUGCUGUACUAGCUGUACAUGCAGUUAUGUAGUGUUCAUACUUGGGGCUGUGCUGCACUGAUUUGUGGUACAUUGCUGUCUGGACACCUAGCAUUCAUAAAUAAAAUGCCAGUAUCGAA